AGCUUAAGAGAUUUUAACGUUUUGUUCUAUGAUAUAAAAUACAUCAGAAAUACUCAAAAUAUUUUUGCUUUUACGUUUCUUAAAAAAGGCAUUUGCUAACUAGUGGAUAAAUGACUCUACUGAACAUUAUCACGCCAACUAGUCGGCCCUUACAGCCUCGUUGUUGCGAUUAUGUGACCGUAGUGUAGUUGUUUAAUAGCCCAAAAUCAUUAAAGUGGCAUUUAUUUGUAAAGAUUUUCUUGCUAAAGAAGUUAGUUUAUUUUCUGCAAUAAUCCACAGUGAGAUGCUAACUUUCGGGGUUGGGAUUCAAAGAUACAUCACCCCUUCAGCACUCUGUUGGUGACUGGAUUAUAUGUUCUAUAUGUUUAUGGUGCCGUCGCUGCUGUCUGGUUCUGAGCAUGCCCAGUGAGCAAUUGAUUAUGAAUGAAGGCUGAUGACAUCUGAAGCUGCUGGAAAGGAGGGGGAUCUGCAGGGCUUUGUUGGCUGGUCUCAGAUCUGUUUUCAGUACUUUCUCUUAAAAACAAUGACUUAAACUCGCCCAAACCGGUAAACAGCAGCAACUACCACGAGUCCUGCCCUGCUGCUGCUGGAAGUCAGGUUGUGACUAAAAUGUAUCCAGAUUGAAGGAAUCAGCCCUUUGCUUUACUCCUCCCCCAUCUCCUCCCCCCACUUGCCUCCUCUCUGUGGUGUAACCUCACCUGACCAGCACAAAGCAUGAGCGCCCAGUCUGAAACAAAGGUGCCAGUUUCCUGAACCCAUAACUCACUUCCCUUCCACCAUUAGCGCUCAUACACUAUUAGCUAACCACUAGCACUGUAUGUAUGCAGUGAUACUGUAUUAAUUAUCUCAGUGCAUAGAGUAUCACUCCAACAGACCUAAAGGUGCUACAAAUUAAACCAUUUAACAUUUUACAAAUAGUGAUUGCUUUAUGGUAAAAGGCAAAAGGCCAUGAUUUUAGAGAGAAUGUGUUCAAUGUUGCUGUUUUAAACUGUGUAGACUAGCCUCAUCAUCAUCACACUAAAGUAUUGAAAUUAACUGAAGUGAUAUACACAUGCCUAGGUUUGAGGUAAUUCAGAAACAGUGUCACCAUUACAUAGUUUGUGCACCAGAUAGCAUUUUUUAAGUUGAUUGAUAUGUCCCACUUAGUGCAUGUAUCUUGGUCAAAAUUACAGAAUAUCUGUAUCAAUAUUGUCUGGUUAUAGAAUGUGUUUUAUUUUAAACAAAAUGACUGGCUGAUAUAAAAUCUGAUUUUAAAAAUCCCAAAUAUCAAUAUCAGUAUCGGCCUUUAAAAAUGUCGGUAUCAGUUAGCUAUACUUUUAAAUGAAAGAGUCAGUUUGACUCAACAUCAAGUGCAUUUAUCAAUAAGUAUCCCAGGUUCCUUGAAAUGUGGGUUUUUAAUUUACAAUCGCACACCUUAUAAUAACUUAGAUCCUCUUUGCUUUUGCCUUCUUGUGGAUCAAGGUGAGAGGAGCAGAGUGUGUGAUGAAGCCAUGUCAGCCCUACCAUAUGCUUAUUCUAAUUCAUUAGAAUUCAUUUAGCUGUGACGCCUAUUUAACUAUCUCACCUCUGUGAUUGGUGCAGUGUCCCAGUUCACCUAAAAGUCAUGCUGCAAGAUAACAAGGACAUUACAAUGGAAACAAUCCUGCAGUGAACUCGAGUCCACAAAUGGUUGUUUUACAGACAAUAAUUUCACGCAAGUGCUGUUUACAUGUUUGGACACGCAUUUUGACAAAACUAUGGCUUCAUUUUGAAAAUGUUUGUGCAGUGCAGUUGUAAAUAAAAGUUGAAAUGAAGACAAGUUCAGAACUAUUUCAUGCUUGAUUUAACCAUUGGCAAAGCAUUUAAUUUAAACAUUCUGACAACAGCUUGAGUAUAAGUAUUGCAGAUAACCCUAUUCCUAUUCAGUCCACACACAUAGGCUCACUCACACCAGUGGAUGCAAACACUACAGGGUCACCUUUAAUGUUCCUCUAAACUCCCCUGUAGACUCGUUCCUUUACUGUUUACUGGUUUAACCACUGACUCUGUCUUUCUUUUUGUCUCCUUUUUCCCCACUUCACCGCUGGCUGCAUCUUAACCGUUUAACAGUGGAGAGAGGUGGGAGUCAGCUUCAGACUAAUUCCACAUUUGUGUGUUUGUUUUCAAGUGUGUUAGAGGGAGUAACAGCAAGCAGCAUACUGUAUGUGUGUGUGUGCAGCAUUUUUACUGUAACAUAAGUGUGCAUGCAUCAGCUGUCUUAAAGUGUGGGUGUGAUGUACGUUCUUGAAUAUCGAAGAUCGAAAAGCCUGGCGAGGUGGCUCAGUUUGUCAGGCUCCGGGGAAUAUGAUUAGUAUUCACUGUAACAACGCUAUCACACUUUCACUCCUGCCAAAACUUAAGUCUCCUUUUGUCCUCCUUCCAGCUGCUACCCCUUGGAAAAAAAAAUCAGAAUUCGAAUCCUCACAAGUUACAGAGAAGAAGAGGACAGUCUAUCAGAUGGCUUUGAAUAAACUAGAUGAAAUUCUUGCAGCAGCUCAGCAGACAAUCAGCACCAAUGAGGCACCAGGGACACGGGGACAGGGGCCAAAAAGAGACAGAGGACGAAGUUUCUAUGGCAAUGAGGUGUGUAUCGUGAAACACACUACCACUAUGUGUCCUGAGAUAUGUGUGUGCUCCUGUGUUUGAUUUGUCCCCACAUACCUACAUCAAAAAGUUAAAGAUCCCCAUUUACUGAGACCCAUAGAUUUGCAUAUACAUACACAUAAGCCAGGUAUUAUCACCUGGCCUGUUAUGAACACAUGAACCAACGUUAGGUCAACACAAGAGAUGUUUUUCUCAUUUCUGUUGAGCAGAAUGUGUUAUACAAAGAUUUG